UUAGGAAUUUCGGGCAAUGGGCGAAAGCCUGACCCAGCAACGCCGCGUGGGUGAUGAAGGCCCUCGGGUCGUAAAGCCCUUUUCCCAGGGAAGAUGGUGACGGUACCUGGGGAAUAAGCACCGGCUAACUCUGUGCCAGCAGCCGCGGUAAUACAGAGGGUGCAAGCGUUAAUCGGAGUUACUGGGCGUAAAGGGCGCGUAGGUUGUUGCAUAAGUUGGUUGUGAAAGCCCUGGGCUUAACCUGGGAAUUGCAACCAAAACUGUGUAACUAGAGUACUGUAGAGGGUAGUGGAAUUUCCGGUGUAGCGGUGAAAUGCGUAGAGAUCGGAAGGAACACCAGUGGCGAAGGCGGCUACCUGGACAGAUACUGACACUGAGGCGCGAGAGCGUGGGGAGCAAACAG
rnacentral:rRNA from 1 species